GACGAACGCUGGCGGCGUGCUUAACACAUGCAAGUCGAACGGAAAGGCCCUGCUUUUGUGGGGUGCCGGGUGGCGAAACGGGGACGUAAGAGGUGAGUAACCUGCCCUUGACUUUGGGAUAACUUCAGGAAACUGGGGUUAAUCCCGGAUAGGAGCCCCUGUUGCGGGGAGGGGGUUGGAACGUUUAGGCGGGUGGGGUUGGACUCGCGGCUUAUCAGCUAGUUGGUGGGGGAGUGGCUUACCAAGGCUGUGACGGGUCGCCGGCCUGAGAGGGUGACCGGCCACAUUGGGACUGAGAUACGGCGCAGACUCCUACGGGAGGCAGCAGUGGGGAAUAUUGCACAAUGGGCGGAAGCCUGAUGCAGCAACGCCGCGUGCGGGAUGACGGCCUUCGGGUUGUAAACCGCUUUCGCCUGUGACGAAGCGUGAGUGACGGUAAUGGGUAAAGAAGCACCGGCUAACUACGUG
rnacentral:rRNA from 1 species